UCGAUGUGGUAUCUUGAAAGAUUGUGCAAGGUCACCUCAGUACCACUUCUCCAAAACAAAGCUAUCCCUCUGCCUCCCGUUUCAUCACAAUCCCGAGCCAACAUAUUUGGCAGCCCGAGCAUCCAACGGAACUUCUCCAUCUUACUUUUCGUUAAUCUUGUCUCACACAAGAACAAAACAUCAGGAUUUUCGGACUUCUGGAUUUCCAAAAGCCCACGAACUGCCAAGCGGUUGCCUAACCCCCGACAGUUCCAGGUCACAAGCUUCAUUGGCGCGAUCCGGGCUGUUCUGACAGCCCGCCAUUAAUUGUUGGCAUAAUCUUCUUAACUUGCUCCACCUCAGCUUUUUUGCUUCACUUCCAGACACCUCCAUAUCCUCUAGGUCCCUUUUCCCCCCAAGCACCGAGGCACCCAGAUUUCCCCCCGCACGCCCAGUGUCUAUUUUCCUUCAAACUUUUCUUUUCUUCUUUUUUUGUUCAUCUUUCCCCUCAGUAGCAGGUUGUCUAGCCACCGCUUUCUUCUUCAUGUCUUCGUACCCAGGCAACUCGUGCGUGCUCGCCAUCGAUCCUUCCUGAACAGUACGAUCAACUUGCAUGUCAUUACCGUCCUCAGGGCCAAGCUUCCUGCAAGGUGGCAGUAAUUUUAGUGGGCUCGUGACUUCUUUUUCUUCCUGCACAACUGUUGUUCCUCUCUUCAGAUCAUCCGCGGGUUGUUUCCUCCAAAAGCCUGAGCGACUGCUCGACAUUGAACCACUCUAGAAAUUACCUUUCUUCCCUUCUCCCGAUAGUGAUCUUGAUUGAUCCUUGCCUUUCCUCCUCGGUAGUUCAGCGCGCAGCCAUUUCCCCCACCCCUGAGGCUCCCCUGUUUUCACUUGGCUAUUGCAUUCACGAAAGCAAUGACCCAAGAUGCCAAAUGUGUAGCAAAAUUCUGGGAGAUGUUCAUACUCCAGUCUGCACAACAGCAAAUCCAACUCCUUUUUCCCCUCGCCUGCCUCCUAACCGCCAGCCACUAUGUCGGCCAGUUCAUCCUCCUUCUCCUCCACAUCCCUCUGCAGUG
rnacentral:lncRNA from 1 species